CCUACGGGGGGCUGCAGUAGGGAAUAUUCCACAAUGGGCGAAAGCCUGAUGGAGCAACGCCGCGUGCAGGAUGAAGGCCUUCGGGUCGUAAACUGCUUUUAUAUGUGAAGAAUAUGACGGUAGCAUAUGAAUAAGCCUCGGCUAACUCCGUGCCAGCAGCCGCGGUCAUACGGAGGAGGCGAGCGUUAUCCGGAUUUACUGGGCGUAAAGAGUUGCGUAGGCGGUUUUGUAAGCGAAUAGUGAAAUCAUGUGGCUCAACCAUACUGACUAUUAUUCGAACUGCAGAACUUGAGAACGAGAGGGGUGAUUGGAAUUCCCGGUGUAGGAGUGAAAUCCGUAGAUAUCGGGAGGAACACCAAUGGCGUAGGCAGAUCACUGGCUCGUUUCUGACGCUAAGGCACGAAAGCGUGGGUAGCAAACGGGCUUAGAUACCCGAGUAGUC
rnacentral:rRNA from 1 species